rnacentral:lncRNA from 1 species
GGUAAGAUCCUGGCCCAAGCUGGCCCAAAGCACCACUCACUGGCUACUGGGACUGGUUGAGGGAGUGGAAACCUGACCAAGGCCCUACCCCAGGCCAUUCCAGAUGGAGUUGAAAGAGAAAACAGUUUUCCUCCAAGUGGCAAGACUGAAAGGGGCAUGUGUGCCCUGUCACCGGCCCCGUCCCCAGCAUCUCCUCCUGCCCUGUCCCCCUCACAGCUCUGGCACUCCAAGUGUCAUCUCAGUGGAAGGGUUUCCUGACUCCUCCCCUGGUGGGGGCUGUCCCUCUUCUGUGCUCCUCCAUCACCCUUGCUAUAACACAUGAUAGGUGUUCAAUCAACAUUUUCUGCAGGGAGAGGGAGGGGAGCAGGGCUGAUACAUUUAUUUUUCAAGGACUUGCAUACUAAUAAGAAUAAAGGUAAUACCACAGAUGCCAGUUCAGAACAAAGAAAUUAUCUGGUCACACUAGGCAGCUUGUCUCUCUUCUGAAUAUAGAGAUAUGUAUAUCAUCUUCUGAAAUCAACUCCUUUUUGCAGAAAUGACUUAUUUGCAUUAAAAAUGACUUAUCCCACAUCGUUCCACAUCAUGUUGCACUUGGUUACCUGCAUACAGCAGUGAAGUACAACAGAACCCCAAAACCCAAGUGAAAGUUUUCUCGAAUGUUGAGGAUCUGUCUACAGCUGGGGCCAGCAAAUGUUUUCUUAGUUUUUUAUUACUUUAAAACAAUUUUUUUAGAGACAGGGGUCUCACUAUGUUGCCCAGGCUAGAGUGCAGUGGGAGCAUACAGCAAGAUGCUAAUGUAUAUAUGAACCAAUUUCUAAGCGAAUGCUGAGGAAUAAUUCGAUAUUUUGCAGUUCCCCUAAAAUAAUAAGGCUCAAAAUCUUUGUCACUGGUUUAUUCGUAGGCUAAUAUAGCUGGGCACAGUGCAAACAGGCUUCCCCUGCUGCCUCGUGAAUCCUCAACUGGAAAAACCCCUUUGAGGGGUAAGGUCACUGGUCUUCGUCACUGCUGGGUCCUGCAUGUGUGCCCUGGAGCAGAAGCUGUCCCCUGGCACAUGCAAAUGGUAUUCAGGCAACUGCUCACCAGGGACCCUAUUUAGACCACUAAACUCAUGUCAUUUAGGCCUGUGAGUAAAGGUCAUGUGGCUGCCGGGAAAUCAAAAGAAAAAAAGUAUGUUUCAUCCACAGUCUUUCAAAGGUAAGAAAGCAAAUUUGGAAGUCUGUUAUUUUUAUUCUUUUCUAAUAACAGUUCAUUAAGAUAUAAUUCACACCCAUAAAAUUCACCCUUUUAACAGUUUACAGUUCAGUGGUUUCUAGUACAUUCACAGCAGUAGAUGCCAUCAUCACCAUCUAAGCCCAGAACAUUUUCAUCACCCCAAAAAGAAACUCCGUACCUAGUACUCAGUACCUCAGAACCUAGUAUCAGCAGCCACUCUCUGGUCCCCAACUCUCACUCUGACCCCAACAGCCCUGUCACUAUAUAUUUGCCUACUGUGGAUGUUUCAUACAAAUGGAAUCAUACAAUAGGUGGUUUUUAGUGACUGGCUUCCUUCGCUUACCAUGUUUUCACUUUGGUUGAGUAUAUACCUAGGAAUGUAGUUGCUGGGUCAUAC